rnacentral:rRNA from 1 species
UUUUUCAACAACAUGGCUCCUUGUAUCUUAUAAAUAAGGAGUCGGACCUGCCCAGUGAAAUUAUUUUAUCGGCCGCGGUACCCUGACCGUGCAAAGGUAGCAUAAUCAUUUGCCUUAUAAUUGAAGGCUUGUAUGAAUGGUUUGACUAGAACAAAGCUGUCUCUUUAUGAUUGUAUAGAAUUUUAUCUUUAGGUGAAGAAGCCUAGAUAUAAUUAAUAGACAAGAAGACCCUAUCGAGCUUUAAAAAAAUUGAUAGAACUAAUUAUUUAUAUUAAUAAAAAAUUAACUAUUAAAAAUUUUGGUUGGGGCGACUAAGGAACAGAUAAAGCUUCCUAAAAUCUAAAAAUCUACAUGUAUUGAUCCAAAAUUUUUGAUUAAAGAAAUUAGUUACCGUAGGGAUAACAGCAUUAUCCUCUUUGAGAGUUCUUAUCGAAAAGGGGGUUUGUGACCUCGAUGUUGGACCAGAAUAUCCUAAAGAUGCAGAAGUCUUUAAGGGUUGGUCUGUUCGACCAUUCAAAUUCUACGUGAUCUGAGUUCAGACCGGCGUGAGCCAGGUCAGUUUCUAUCUUUAAUUUUUAGCUUAAGCUUAGUACGAAAGGACCAGCUUAUAAUAUAAAAUAUUAUAUAUGAAAAAAUAUAAUUAAUAUUUGUCAGAUUAGCAAAUUUAAUGCAAUUGAUUUAGGAUCCAUAGAUAUAGGUGAAUAAUCCUUUAUUUGACAGCAUACAUAAUGAAGGAAGAUUUAGUGCAUUAGGUUU